rnacentral:rRNA from 1 species
GGAGGGAUAUUACUGAGUACCGCUCUAUAACCCUUUGUGAACGUACCUAACCGUUGCUUCGGCGGGCAGGGGAAGCCUCUCGCGGGCCUCCCCUCCCGGCGCCGGCCCCCACCACGGGGACGGGGCGCCCGCCGGAGGAAACCAAACUCUAUUUACACGACGUCUCUUCUGAGUGGCACAAGCAAAUAAUUAAAACUUUUAACAACGGAUCUCUUGGUUCUGGCAUCGAUGAAGAACGCAGCGAAAUGCGAUAAGUAAUGUGAAUUGCAGAAUUCAGUGAAUCAUCGAAUCUUUGAACGCACAUUGCGCUCGCCAGCAUUCUGGCGAGCAUGCCUGUUCGAGCGUCAUUUCAACCCUCAAGCACCGCUUGGUUUUGGGGCCCCACGGCCGACGUGGGCCCUUAAAGGUAGUGGCGGACCCUCCCGGAGCCUCCUUUGCGUAGUAACUAACGUCUCGCACUGGGAUCCGGAGGGACUCUUGCCGUUAACCCCCAAAUUCUUACAGGUUGACCUCGGAUCAGGUAGGAAUA